rnacentral:tRNA from 4 species
GGGGGUGUGGCGCAGCUGGUAGCGCGUCUCGUUCGCAUCGAGAAGGCCAGGGGUUCGAGUCCCCUCACCUCCACCC